GAUGAACGCUGGCGGCGUGCCUAAUACAUGCAAGUCGAGCGAACAGAUGAGGAGCUUGCUCCUCUGACGUUAGCGGCGGACGGGUGAGUAACACGUGGAUAACCUACCUAUAAGACUGGGAUAACUUCGGGAAACCGGAGCUAAUACCGGAUAAUAUAUUGAACCGCAUGGUUCAAUAGUGAAAGACGGUUUUGCUGUCUCUUAUAGAUGGAUCCGCGCCGCAUUAGCUAGUUGGUAAGGUAACGGCUUACCAAGGCAACGAUGCGUAGCCGACCUGAGAGGGUGAUCGGCCACACUGGAACUGAGACACGGUCCAGACGCCUACGAGAGGCAGCAGUAGGGAAUCGUCCGCAAUGGGCGAAAACCUGACGGAGCAACGCCGCGUGAGAUAUGAAAGUCUUCGGAUCGUAAUACUCUGUUAUUAGGGAAGAACAAAUGUGUAAGUAACUAUGCACGUCUUGACGGUACCUAAUCAGAAAGCCACGGCUAACUACGUG
rnacentral:rRNA from 1 species